rnacentral:miRNA from 17 species
ACCAGCCAACCGGAUCCAUCGGCGGGGAGGCCGGGGUCGCCAGAUCCGGUGUCCCCGGCCUCCUCGCUGGACGAUUCGGUGGCGGCGA